UCCAGGCGCCGCCCCUGCCCCUCCCCACCACCCAAACACAGCAAUGCGACUGGUUUGUCAGGUACGCGCGUACUGUCGUUUGGAUUACCACUGAACCACUCGCGUAGGCAUAUUAGCACAGCAGCGAAGUUAUCGUGAUGACGUGCUGUCCGCCGCCUAUUUGACAUGACUUAAUUGUUAGGCCUAACCAACACUGCUGUGUGCGAAUUGUUGGCGACUAAUUGUUUGGCAUCGAGUCAUUGCAUAUCUCUUUGUGGGGGGCUCAUGGCCUUCAAAAAGCAAAUGACUUGCCUCACUAACGAAAGCCAAAGUGCAUGAAUUAAUAAGGGGAACAACCCAAAUGCUGCCAACCUUUUCACGGCGGCCAUUUCCUAGACAUCAAGCGUGGAAGACUUUCAGUAGGAUAGGAGUCAUAUUUAUGUAUGUCUUACUUUUUGUUUGUAACCAGAGGCAUAUCCAGGACAUGGCACACUAUACACUCCCGUGGUCUUUACCUGCCAUAGACAGAGCAUGGCGUAGAAGCUGGACGGCUUUGCCAGGAGGCUGCGGUGGUUUCCCCGUUCACACACUCUGCCAUCACUGAGCACCAGGAUUUCGUCUGCAUCCACCACGGUGGAGAGGCGAUGGGCGAUGCAGAUAGACGUGCGGCCUUGUGAUGCCCGCUGGAGUGCCAUCAUUAUUUUCUGUUUCGGCAGGUUUCAAGGAAAAAAAAAAGAACAAAACAUUAU